GACGAACGCUGGCGGCGUGCCUAAUACAUGCAAGUAGAACGCUGAAGGAGGAGCUUGCUUCUCUGGAUGAGUUGCGAACGGGUGAGUAACGCGUAGGUAACCUGCCUGGUAGCGGGGGAUAACUAUUGGAAACGAUAGCUAAUACCGCAUAAUAGUAGAUGUUGCAUGACAUUUUCCUAAAAGUUGCAAUUGCAUCACUACCAGAUGGACCUGCGUUGUAUUAGCUAGUUGGUGGGGUAACGGCUCACGAAGGCGACGAUACAUAGCCGACCUGAGAGGGUGGUCAGCCACACUGAGAGUGAGACACGGCCCAGAGUGCUUCAGGAGGCAGCAGUAGGGAAUCGUCAGCAAUGGGCGGAAGUCUGACCGAGCAACGCCGCGUGAGGGAAGAAGAUUUUCGGAUCGUAGAGCUCGGUUGUAAGGGAAGAACGAGUGUGAGAGUGGAAAGUUCACAGUGUGACGGUAUCGUACCAGAAAGGGACGGCUAACUACGUG
rnacentral:rRNA from 1 species